GGGCGAGCAAACAGGCAGAAGCAAAGGUGGGCCCCUCAGUCUGGCAUGGUGCCAGGCUAGCCUGGCUGGGAGCGAGUCCCAGCAAGGUUGCCCUGUCCAUGGCCUUAAUCCACAGAGUCUCCUCUUUCACAGGUGCUUCUGCUCCAUUGUUGGCUGAAGGGGUCAGGACUUACUGUCUCCUGCAUUAUUGAUGCUCUAAAUGGAGAGCCCUUAGCCUCUCCAGAACACAGCUGGGUGGUAUGCUGCUGCAGCCCAAGGGCACCCUGAAGCAGUCAGACCCCUAAAAGGAAAAAGAACUUGAGAAGUGUGAAGCCUGUCAUCUCUGGGACUGUUAUGGGUGGGAGCAAGAACAAAGCGCCCCAGUGCAGGGCGAGACCUGGGAGGCCAGCCUCAGGGGAGCAGGAGUCCGGAUCGGCUAGUGCUGAUAGCGCACUUAGCCAGGACCACCGACCUGGCCGCGGCAAAGCCCUGCGGGCGAGACCCUCCAAGGAGCCCGACACCGCGGGGGACAAGAGACUCGCUAGUGGCCACAGGAAGCCGGCCACAGACGGGAACGGUGGCUGCAGAAAGCCAGGUGCUGAGCCGCCACCGGAGGCACAGGAGAGGCAAGGCAGCACGCGGCAUAGGGGAUCCGGGCCUUUGGAGAGUCACCGACCAGGGGACAGCCGUGGGGAGCGCCAGGAUGAGGAGAGUCUACCGAAAGAAGAGGGUACAGCCCAGCGCCGCCGUCGCCGCAAGAGGAAAGGAAAAGGGCAGGGACCCUUGGUUCAGCCCGGCCGCCGAGAGGCUCGGAGCCGCGAAAGUGAACCAUCGGGAGGGGACCGAGGCAGCUCUUGCCGGGACAGCGAAGCUCAAGAGUCCCAGGAGACGAGCAGCCAGGGCAAGGGGGCCUUGCAGCUGCGGACUAAGUCAGAGCCAACGGAAACGGGCCCGGAAGGGAACAAAAUAUGGCCAGAGUCAGCGCUGCAUCCAGGCGAAUGCCAGACCAGCAGCAGUCAGGGCAGUGACGAACCCUCAGCUCAGCUUCUGCAUGAGGAAGUGUCGUCGGGGACAGGGCCCCAGGGAGCGAGUGAGGAUUCUGGGACAAAUACGGACUUGAGUCCGGAGGGGACCGGGCCUGGACCGCGCCCACCGGCACCCCUGGGGACAGCAAGAUGGGUCCCUGAUGCCCAAGAGAUCGACCUGGGUGGAAAAGCCCCGGCAUGCAGCUCCCUCGAGCGCAGUUGUGCGCACGUCCCUGGGAGCUCGUGGGAUUCUCGAGACCCCAUGUUUUCUCCGGACUCAAGUGAAGGCUGGGCGCAGCAGGAGGCGGAGCUGCAGGACGCCCAGCCUGAAACAGUCGAGGCCUCUGCGGCCCGGGCUCAGCGCCUCCAGACUGGAAAGGUGGUGGGGAAGUUGCAGGGGGCAGAGGACCAGAGCGAAGCGGCGUCGGAAAAGGGAGCAGGUCCAGAGGACCCAGCGCCACUGGCCACCCUCACGGUGCUCCGUAAGCUCCGCGCGA
rnacentral:lncRNA from 1 species